rnacentral:lncRNA from 1 species
UGGCUUUUCUGAGCACCUUGUUCUCCUCAAGAUACCAUAGACUCCCUACCCCAUCUCAAACAUACUGGGGUGUUUUUUACCUAUCUACCACCGAUCUUGCCACAGGUCAUAUUCAUACGUAUCUCGAGAUUAUCAAGAAACCAAGUAAGUAUAAUACCCCCACUGCCCCAUCCCCCCCACACCCUGUCCUAUAGGAUUGUAAGGGGAGAAAGCA